UCUUUCCUUGUCUGGGGGUGGAUUGGGCUGUUCAAUGAACGUGUAGUGAGAAUAGCUCUGCUGACACCUAACCAACACAAAACGCAUCACCUGAACUGCGGUGUUCAGGCUAUGGUGCAAUUUUUGGAACC
rnacentral:ncRNA from 1 species